rnacentral:rRNA from 1 species
GUGGGUAACCUGCCCAUAAGACUGGGAUAACUCCGGGAAACCGGGGCUAAUACCGGAUAACAUUUUGAACCGCAUGGUUCGAAAUUGAAAGGCGGCUUCGGCUGUCACUUAUGGAUGGACCCGCGUCGCAUUAGCUAGUUGGUGAGGUAACGGCUCACCAAGGCAACGAUGCGUAGCCGACCUGAGAGGGUGAUCGGCCACACUGGGACUGAGACACGGCCCAGACUCCUACGGGAGGCAGCAGUAGGGAAUCUUCCGCAAUGGACGAAAGUCUGACGGAGCAACGCCGCGUGAGUGAUGAAGGCUUUCGGGUCGUAAAACUCUGUUGUUAGGGAAGAACAAGUGCUAGUUGAAUAAGCUGGCACCUUGACGGUACCUAACCAGAAAGCCACGGCUAACUACGUGCCAGCAGCCGCGGUAAUACGUAGGUGGCAAGCGUUAUCCGGAAUUAUUGGGCGUAAAGCGCGCGCAGGUGGUUUCUUAAGUCUGAUGUGAAAGCCCACGGCUCAA